UCACUGACCUCUUGUUCAUGAUCUUAAAAACUAAAACUGUAUUUCACCUCAUCCACUCUGGCCUUCUGGACUUCCUGAAUCUGCAAAGCAGUGUGCUAAGGAGAGAGGCUAUCUGCUGUUCUCAGGUGAGGAUGUGACAAGAAGACGGCAGUCUGCAGCCUCGAAGAGGAUCUUCAGCAGAUCUCAGCCGUGAUCUCAGACUUCCAGCCUCUGGAACUAAGAAAUAAAUAUCCGCAGUUUCCAAGCCGUGCAAGGUCUAUGGUACUUUGCUCUAGCGACCCAAAGACUUUGUGAUUACAUUGGGCCCAUCCAGAUCAUCCAGGAUCAUCUUCCCAUCUCAAGAUUCUUCACUUAAUCACAUCUGCAAAAUUCCUUUUGCUGUGUAAGGUGAUGUAUUCACAGUUUCUGGGUAUUAGGAUGUAGACAUCUUUGUAGGUGGAGAGAGGAAUUAUUUUUCUACAUAUGCUAUUUAUUUUGUUCUAUCAAAAAACUCUUGGGGGUGCCGAGCACGGUGGCUCACGCCUAUAAUCCUAGCACUUUGGAAGGCUGAGGUGGGCAGAUCAUUUGAAGUCAGUAGUUCGAGAUCAGCUUGUCUGACAUGGUGAGACCCCAGUCUCUACUAAAAAUACAAAAAUCAGUGGGGCGUGGUGGUGCGUGCCUGUAAUCCCAGCUACUCGGGAGGCUGAGGUAGGAGAAUCACUUGAAUCCAGGAGGCAGAGAUUGCAGUGAGCAGACAUCAUGCUACUGCACUCUGGCCUGGGCAACAGAGCGAGACUCCAUCUCAAAAAAAAAAAAAAAAAAAAAAAAAACUUGGGGUAGUGUUUUCUGGGCAUUUUUCAGGAGGACAUUGAUUAAUGGUGUUAUAUGGAAGAGUAUAGAGAAUAACCAUGAAUCAUUCAUUCACUUGACAAACAUUCGUGAAGCAUUCCCUAUGCACCAGACAUAGUGAUACACAGAGCCAGACUUAGGGCAAGGAUAACUCUGGGGAUAUAGGUAAGAACAUGCUGAAGCUGUAGAGUGUGGUACUAAUGAGCCAGGACUCUGGAGUCUUAUGAUUUGGCUUUGAAUUUUGGCCCCACCAUUUAUAAACCUUAUGACCUAAGCAAAUUACUCAUCUGUGUUUACCUCAAUUUUGUCACUUACGAAGCUGAGAAAACUAAUAUCUGUACCAUAGGGUUCUAGUGAAGACUAAAUAAGGUUAUUGAUAAAGUUUUUGGCACACCGACUGGCAUAAGGAGUUCAAGAAGUGUGGGCAUAGAGGAGGUACUAGAGAGGACUACAAACAGAACAUGGAGUACUUGCUGCCAUAGGGCCUUUGGAAAGGCUUUCCAGAGCUAAGCCUUGAAAGUUGAGUUUCAUGUCAUCAGUUGGAAGUUGAAGAGAUGAGGGUUAUGCCAGGAGCAGACAUAGCAAUGAAUUUGGAAACCAUGAGGAAGGGCUGAGGAGAUUGGGAGGAAAAGGCCUGGGAGUCAAAGAGGAGCAAUAUUUAAACAUUGUGCUUCAGCCAGGCACAGUGGCUCAUGCCUGUAAUCCCAACACUUUGGGAGGCCUAGGUUGGUGGAUCUCUUGAGGCCAGGAGUUUGAGACCAGCCUGGCCAACAUAGUGAAACCCUGUCUCUACAAAAAAUACAUAAAUUAGGCCGGGCGCAGUGGCUCACGCCUGUAAUCCCAGAACUUUGGGAGGCUGAGGUGGGCAGAUCAUGAGGUCAGGAGAUCGAGACCAUCCUGGCUAACUUGGUGAAAUCCCGCCUCUACUAAAAAUACAAAAAAGUAGCCAGGCGUGGUGGCGGGCGCCUGUAGUCCCAGCCACUCGGGAGGCUGAGGCAGGAGAAUGGCAUGAACCUGGGAGGCGGAGGUUGCAGUGAGCUGAAAUCACGCCACUGCACUCCAGCCUGGGCGACAGAGACUCCGUCUCAUAAAAUAAAUAAAUAAACAAACAAACAAAAAAAAACAUAAAUUAGCUGGGCAUGGUAGCGUGCACCUGUUGUCCCAGCUAGCAGGAGGCUCAGGCAUGAGAAUUGCUUGAACCCUGUAGAUGGAGGUUGCAGUGAGCCAAGAUCCUGCCACUGCACUCCAGCCUGGGCAACAUAGCAAGACCCUAUCUCAAAAUACCUAUAUAUCUAUAUCUUUAGAUAGAUAUAGAUAUAUAGUGCUUCGAUAUUGACACAAUAAUGAGAAAUUAGACUUAUUUUACUUCUAUCCAGAAAAAUACCCAAGCCUAAGUGGAAAUGACAGAAAUAACUUUUAUCUCCAUAUUUGAAAGACAUUGUGAUUAAAUAAGGAUUUCCUUAAUUUUUUGAGGACAAUAUAAACCCUUCUCUGUGCACCACCCACUGUCAAAACACACUGCCUUCUUUAUGGGGUAUCUAUUUUAUGUCCAUUUUCCUCUUCACUUUUGUGAAUAAGAGCCCAAGUAUUUUCAUGAUCAGUGGGCCGUAAACUUUAAAGGAGGCUGGGCUUUUCUCCUGCCCCAAGGGUAUAAAUCAGGAUUGGUUUGAGCCAAUCAUGACAACCAUUGCCUUUGUCAUUGGUUAGGACAAUGGACAUUGGUUAGGAUGGACAUGUGGCACAAUUCUUGCUGAUGACAUAGGGGAGGAAAGUCUUUGGAAAAGUUUUUCUUAUCUCUUAAAAAGAUAAAUGAAGCUGAGUGCAGUGGCUAACACCUAUAAUCCCAGCACUUUGAGAGGCCGAGGCUGGAAGAUCACUUGAGCCCAGGUGUCUGAGACCAGCCUGCGCAACAUGGCGAAACCCCAUCUCUACAAAAAAUACAAAAAUUACCCAGGCAUGUUGACAUGCGCCUGUAGUCCCAGCCACUUGGGAGGCUGAGAUGGGAGGAUCACCUGAGCCUGGGAGGUUGAGGCUGCAGUGAGCUAAGAUUGCACCACUGCAUUCCAGCCUAGGCAACACAGUGAGGCCGUGUCUCAAAAAAAAAAAAAAAAAGAUAAAUGGGGGAUGUGGUUGGACUCUCUUCUCCUCCAGCUGUGAGAUAUCAGUGGGCGAGGAUGUGAUGCCUGAAGAUGUGGCAUCUACCUUGAAACAGUCAAGGACCUGAGGACGAAGCCAGCAUCUGAGGAAGAUAGACAGAAAGGAUCUGGAUACAUGAUGAGCCUGAAAAGUAUCUUGCAUACACAACUGGCAGCACAGAAUCCUAACAAACCUCUCAUCAGAAAUCAACCACAGACUCUCUAUGCUCUUACCAAAACACUGGCUUUGAGAACUAAUUAUGAAUGAAAGUUACUGAUGUGAUUUUCAGUCCACAGGGCCUGAAAAUUGCUUCCAGCAACUGACAAGUUCAUCCCCUUCCAAUUGGUCUGACAAGCCCUGAGGAAAGAGGAAGACAGUGAUAUCCACCCCCCCUGCCCCCACCUCCUUAACUGUAAAAUUGUCCAUCUCAUCUUGAACUAUCCAGAAACCAACAUGGGACUACACAAAACCACUACUUGAAGUCAGCACCAAAACAGUUGUUUGUGGAAAAUGGUUGACCAGGGUCAAUGUUAUUUAUAGAUGUGCAACAAACUGCCUACCUUCUAGUCUCCAAUUAUCUGCAUAUGUAUAGGAGAUGCUGGAAAUUUCUUUUUGGACUGAUUCUUUGAAGCCUUACCUCCUUGCGUAGUCCUGACAGAAUAACAAAUUAGGUUCCCAAUAUUGAGUGAGAAGAGUGAGUUUCAGGAGUCAUUCACACACUGCAUUCUGCCUUCCAGAGGCAGUGGGGGGCAAGGAUAAGAGAAGGAUCAUGGGCUUUGGGGUUAGCCAGGACUACACCCAAAUUUCUGCUGGCCUUGGUACUAGCUGGGUCCUGGAGUAUGAUACAUUCUCUGUUAAGCGUUUUUUUUUUUGUCUGAUCUGGUAGCCUGCAGUGAAUUGUUAUUCCCUUGGCCUUAGGAUUUAUAGCCUGUGACCAGUUACCAGAUUAUCUCACCACUGAAGGCCUAGAUAGUACUGUGUAUAAUGAAAGCAAGUAAGGUUAUUAACGCUUGAAGAUUUUUAACCAUAGUAUUUUUCAGUUCAAAGCAAAGAAACCCAUCCACCUAUUUAUUUUUGCAUGACUGGUAUAGAUAUCUAUAAUAUCGAGAGGAGAUUCCAGCUGGGCUUCCUGGGUCAAGUAGGGGCUCAGAAAGCUGUGAAACUCACUCAUUUCCUGCAUCAGGACUUACUUCAGUCCUGGAUGAAUAAUAUUGAAGAUAUAUGCCUAAAAUAUUCCUAACACCAGGAUGUGUGCGUGUGUUUUCUUCCCCAAGAAAGCUAUAAACAGCAAAAAUUUUCCUGUAAGUUUCCCUGUGUCCUCUCUCCCUCUCUCCCUUUCCCCUCCCCUAAAACUAAAAGGCAUGUUAAAUGCCCGUUUUCUGUGACCAGCGGACCUUAUCUAUGCUCUUAAUUCCAAUUCCUUGUAAACAUACUUUGUAAAGUCCUGUGAGAUCCUGUCUCUUUUGCCAUGCAGCUGCGAGGUCAUAAAAUAGAUAAAAGCUAAGUUGCAAUUCCGGUUUUCCUCAAAAUCUAAAACAGGUCACAAAAUAAUUUACUGCCUUUGUUUCUGCUCUGGUAACAUUUUCCCUCCGCAGGCAUGUAUUUCCUGCCUUAAAGAGUUUAAAAUGCAACUGCAUAAUCUAACUCUGGCUACCCGCUGGGGACCCCUUCCACGCUGUGAAAGCUUUGUACUGUCACUCUGCUCCAUAAAGCCUACUGCUUUGUU